AUUGAACGCUGGCGGCAUGCCUUACACAUGCAAGUCGAACGGCAGCACGGGUGCUUGCACCUGGUGGCGAGUGGCGAACGGGUGAGUAAUACAUCGGAACAUGUCCUGUAGUGGGGGAUAGCCCGGCGAAAGCCGGAUUAAUACCGCAUACGAUCUACGGAUGAAAGCGGGGGACCUUCGGGCCUCGCGCUAUAGGGUUGGCCGAUGGCUGAUUAGCUAGUUGGUGGGGUAAAGGCCUACCAAGGCGACGAUCAGUAGCUGGUCUGAGAGGACGACCAGCCACACUGGGACUGAGACACGGCCCAGACUCCUACGGGAGGCAGCAGUGGGGAAUUUUGGACAAUGGGCGAAAGCCUGAUCCAGCAACGCCGCGUGUGUGAAGAAGGCCUUCGGGUUGUAAAGCACUUUUGUCCGGAAAGAAAUCCUUGGCUCUAAUACAGUCGGGGGAUGACGGUACCGGAAGAAUAAGCACCGGCUAACUACAUGCCAGCAGCCGCGGUAAUACGUAGGGUGCGAGCGUUAAUCGGAAUUACUGGGCGUAAAGCGUGCGCAGGCGGUUUGCUAAGACCGAUGUGAAAUCCCCGGGCUCAACCUGGGAACUGCAUUGGUGACUGGCAGGCUAGAGUAUGGCAGAGGGGGGUAGAAUUCCACGUGUAGCAGUGAAAUGCGUAGAGAUGUGGAGGAAUACCGAUGGCGAAGGCAGCCCCCUGGGCCAAUACUGACGCUCAUGCACGAAAGCGUGGGGAGCAAACAGG
rnacentral:rRNA from 1 species